UAGCAACAGAAUGGUUUUGCCGAAGACUUUCGUAGCAAUAAGGUUGGUGUAACCACAGCUGCAUUUGGUGUUGGAUUUAUUGGUUAUUACAUAGUGUAUAUAUAGGCUUGCUUCUUGUAUUGUGCCUCUUGCUGUGGUUUCUUCUAUGGAUCAUGGUGCUGGUUCUGCUGGUGCCCCCGCCGUCCGGCUCCCUAUUGGUGCUCCUCGUGUCUGCUUGUGGGGCUUGCCCCUAUAUCUGAAGUGGGAAAAAUGGCAGAACAAGUCUGCUAAUUCUCUGCAUAGUUUGGGGUUUGCUGUUGGUGUUGGCAGAACCCCAAACUAUGCAGAGGUGGGUGACUUGCAAUUUUUUACUGAAGUUCUGCCCGAUAGUGGAAAAAUGCAGGUCACCCACCUAUAACCUUGAGAGAGCGAUGGCUAAGUGGAU
rnacentral:lncRNA from 1 species